rnacentral:lncRNA from 1 species
UCCUUUCUCAAGAGGAAAAAGAGGGAAACCAGAAAAUAUGAAUACUUUCGGAGGAAACCCGCAGUUUGGAUUUACAAGUCAGGAUUAUCAGAAAUAGUUAGGACUAUAUAUCAGAUAAGCCUACACUGGCCAAAUAUCAGAGUAUUUUUGUGUAGAUUGGGAUUUUUUAUAAUGUAGUUAUGAAACUUGUGUGAUUUUUUUUGUUAUUGAUAAAAUGUAAAAAGAGAUUUAUUGUUUUUUGAGAAGAGUAUACAGUAUUAUAGAUUUUUGAAAGUAUAUUGUGGUAUUGAAAUUGUUUUGAGAUUUUUAGAAAACAGGUGAUUUUUUUAUCAGAAUCUGGAAUUUGAUGGUCCUAUUGAAUUGGCGUUGUUGUUUUUAUGCAAAAAAGAUUGUUUAAUACUAUUUUGGUGGGAAGCUGCUUUCGGUGGGUGUUAUAUUGUGCAGAAUAAGUAAGGCUAGAUUAGUCUAAUAUACAUUUAGGUUACACCAUGGGUAUGCUGAGCUAUAGUCUACACCAUUUUAGAUAUUUCUCGGGGAAUACUGAUGACCAUUUUUUUUUAUUUGUUGUACCUUGUACUAAUUUUUAUACUUAUGUUUGUAUGGUGCAUCAGUAUCGAAGAUAGUGUAUAUAUUUAUACGCGGGGUACCCUUGUGGUAUAUAGAACUUAAUAGGACAUCUGUCGGCUUAUGGUUAGCCGGGUGUUUAAAAGAAGUUGAGCUUCAUGAUUUUUAUAAUUCCAGUGUCUGAUAGAAUGGAGAAUCUUGGAUUGAAUUUUAAAUGAAGUAUAUUAGUGCUGUAACUGGAUGAAAAAAAAAAAAUAGAACUUUGUUUUUUCGUGACACUUUACUGUUAUAUAGG